GCCUUUUUAAGAGUUUCUCCCUUGACUGAAUUUUUGGCCACAAACUGAGCAUGAAAAAGGUUUCUCACCAGUGUGGAUUCUUGUAUGUGUUUUUAAGGUUCCCUUGAGAGGGAAUUUUCGGCCACAAACCGAGCAGGAAAAAGGUUUCUCGCCAGUGUGUUUUCUUGUAUGAAUUUCUAAGUGUUCCUUACGAAAGUAUUUUUGGUCACAAACUGCGCAUGAAAAAGGUUUCUCACCAGUGUGGAUUCUUGUAUGUCUUUUUAAGGUUCCCUUGUCAGAGAAUCUUUGGCCACAAACUGAACAUGAAAAAGGUUUCUCACCAGUGUGGAUUCUUGUAUGUCUUUUUAAGGUUCCCUU